UACGGGGGGGGCUAGUGUUACUCGUAAGAAUUGGGCGUAAAGGGUCCGCAGGUGGUUGAUAAAAGUUGGUUGUUAAAUUUUUAGUGCAACUUAUACUAAUCAACUUGAGUUUAGUAGAGGUCAACGGUACUCUUAGUGUAGGGGUAAAAUCUGUGGAUACUAAUGGGGACCACCAACCGGCGAAGGCGGUUGUCUGGCCUAAACUGACGCUAAGGGACGAAAGCACGGGGAGCAAACAGG
rnacentral:rRNA from 1 species